rnacentral:SRP_RNA from 9 species
GCCGAGCUCAGUUGCGAGAGCUUGUAACCCGAGUGGGGGCAUUAAAGUGAUGUGGCCUAUGCGAAAGCUGGGCCUCACGGUCCAUAAGGUGGCAGGCACAGCGUGAGGCUGGCUUCACAGAGCAGCGACAACUGCCCACUUCCAACGGUGGAAGGAUAACGAGCCGCUGCACUCUUAGGUCGCUUGGGCCUCGCAGCCUACUCCAGUGAACCAUCAUUUUU